rnacentral:rRNA from 1 species
GCAUAUCAAUAAGCGGAGGAAAAGAAACCAACAGGGAUUGCCCCAGUAACGGCGAGUGAAGCGGCAACAGCUCAAAUUUGAAAUCUGGCCUCGGCCCGAGUUGUAAUUUGCAGAGGAAGCUUUAGGCGCGGCACCUUCUGAGUCCCCUGGAACGGGGCGCCAUAGAGGGUGAGAGCCCCGUAUAGUUGGAUGCCUAGCCUGUGUAAAGCUCCUUCGACGAGUCGAGUAGUUUGGGAAUGCUGCUCAAAAUGGGAGGUAAAUUUCUUCUAAAGCUAAAUACCGGCCAGAGACCGAUAGCGCACAAGUAGAGUGAUCGAAAGAUGAAAAGCACUUUGAAAAGAGGGUUAAAUAGCACGUGAAAUUGUUGAAAGGGAAGCGCUUGUGACCAGACUUGCGCCGGGCAGAUCAUCCGGUGUUCUCACCGGUGCACUCUGACCGGCUCAGGCCAGCAUCGGUUCUCGCGGGGGGAUAAAGGCCUCGGGAACGUAGCUCCUCCGGGAGUGUUAUAGCCCGGGGCGUAAUGCCCUCGCGGGGACCGAGGUUCGCGCAUCUGCAAGGAUG